AACGGGAAGACCCUUCCAGGCCUUGCCAGCAGAGAACUUUCCAGAGACGGAUUGGGCCUUAGGGAAUGGACCCCGGUGGCAAGGCGUUGUCAGCUGGGUUGUGAGAAGGUGGGUUAAGUCCCGUAACGAGCGCCACCCCUUCCUUAGUUCACGUUGCUGGGCACUCUAAGGGACUGCCGGUGACAAACCGGAGGAAGGUGGGGAGACGUCAAGUCAUCAUGGCCCUUAGGGGGCUCACACGUACAAUGGGUACAAGGGUUGCAAGCCGCGAGGGGAGCAAUCCCAAAACUCGUAGUCCGGAUGCAGUCUGCAACUCGACUGCUGAAGUCGGAAUCGCUAGUAAUCUGAUCAGCAUGC
rnacentral:rRNA from 1 species